CCCUUCGGGGGAAAGAUUUAUCGGAGAAGGAUCGGCCCGCGUCUGAUUAGGUAGUUGGUGGGGUAAUGGCCUACCAAGCCUACGAUCAAUAGCUGGUUUGAGAGGAUGAUCAGCCACACUGGGACUGAGACACGGCCCAAACUCCUACGGGAGGCAGCAG
rnacentral:rRNA from 1 species